rnacentral:rRNA from 1 species
UACGUAGGGUGCAAGCGUUAAUCGGAAUUACUGGGCGUAAAGCGUGCGCAGGCGGUUCGGAAAGAGAGGUGUGAACUCCCAGGGCUUAACCUUGGAACUGCACUUUUAACUACCGGGCUAGAGUACGUCAGAGGGGGGUAGAAUUCCACGUGUAGCAGUGAAAUGCGUAGAGAUGUGGAGGAAUACCGAUGGCGAAGGCAGCCCCCUGGGAUGAUACUGACGCUCAUGCACGAAAGCGUGGGGAGCAAACAGG